rnacentral:rRNA from 1 species
UACGGGAGGCAGCAGUGGGGAAUAUUGCACAAUGGGCGCAAGCCUGAUGCAGCCAUGCCGCGUGUAUGAAGAAGGCCUUCGGGUUGUAAAGUACUUUCAGUCGUGAGGAAGGUGUUAAGGUUAAUAACCUUAGCAAUUGACGUUAGCGACAGAAGAAGCACCGGCUAACUCCGUGCCAGCAGCCGCGGUAAUACGGAGGGUGCGAGCGUUAAUCGGAAUUACUGGGCGUAAAGGGCACGCAGGCGGUUAAUUAAGUUGGAUGUGAAAUCCCCGGGCUUAACCUGGGAAUGGCAUUCAAGACUGGUUAGCUAGAGUCUUGUAGAGGGGGUAGGAAUUCCAUGUGUAGCGGUGAAAUGCGUAGAGAUGUGGAGGAAUACCGGUGGCGAAGGCGGCCCCUGGACAAAGACUGACGCUCAUGUGCGAAAGCGUGGGGAGCAAACAGGGAUUAGAUACC